rnacentral:rRNA from 1 species
UACGUAGGGUGCGAGCGUUAAUCGGAAUUACUGGGCGUAAAGCGUGCGCAGGCGGUUUUGUAAGUCAAAUGUGAAAUCCCCGGGCUUAACCUGGGAACUGCGUUUGAAACUACAAGGCUAGAGUGUGGCAGAGGGGGGUGGAAUUCCACGUGUAGCAGUGAAAUGCGUAGAGAUGUGGAGGAACACCGAUGGCGAAGGCAGCCCCCUGGGUUAACACUGACGCUCAGGCACGAAAGCGUGGGGAGCAAACAGG